UACGUAGGUGGCGAGCGUUAUCCGGAAUUAUUGGGCGUAAAGAGCGCGCAGGUGGUUGAUUAAGUCUGAUGUGAAAGCCCACGGCUUAACCGUGGAGGGUCAUUGGAAACUGGUCAACUUGAGUGCAGAAGAGGGAAGUGGAAUUCCAUGUGUAACGGUGAAAUGCGUAGAGAUAUGGAGGAACACCAGUGGCGAAGGCGGCUUCCUGGUCUGUAACUGACACUGAGGCGCGAAAGCGUGGGGAGCAAACAGG
rnacentral:rRNA from 1 species